rnacentral:rRNA from 1 species
UUAAUGGGUGAUGGCGUGCCUUUUGUAGAAUGAACCGGCGAGUUACGAUUUGAUGCAAGGUUAAGCAGUAAAUGUGGAGCCGUAGCGAAAGCGAGUCUGAAUAGGGCGUUUAGUAUUUGGUCGUAGACCCGAAACCAGGUGAUCUACCCUUGGUCAGGUUGAAGUUCAGGUAACACUGAAUGGAGGACCGAACCGACUUACGUUGAAAAGUGAGCGGAUGAACUGAGGGUAGCGGAGAAAUUCCAAUCGAACCUGGAGAUAGCUGGUUCUCUCCGAAAUAGCUUUAGGGCUAGCCUCAAGUGAUGAUUAUUGGAGGUAGAGCACUGUUUGGACGAGGGGCCCCUCUCGGGUUACCGAAUUCAGACAAACUCCGAAUGCCAAUUAAUUUAACUUGGGAGUCAGAACAUGGGUGAUAAGGUCCGUGUUCGAAAGGGAAACAGCCCAGACCACCAGCUAAGGUCCCAAAAUAUAUGUUAAGUGGAAAAGGAUGUGGCGUUGCCCAGACAACUAGGAUGUUGGCUUAGAAGCAGCCAUCAUUUAAAGAGUGCGUAAUAGCUCACUAGUCGAGUGACACUGCGCCGAAAAUGUACCGGGGCUAAACAUAUUACCGAAGCUGUGGAUUGUCCUUUGGACAAUGGUAGGAGAGCGUUCUAAGGGCGUUGAAGCAUGAUCGUAAGGACAUGUGGAGCGCUUAGAAGUGAGAAUGCCGGUGUGAGUAGCGAAAGACGGGUGAGAAUCCCGUCCACCGAUUGACUAAGGUUUCCAGAGGAAGGCUCGUCCGCUCUGGGUUAGUCGGGUCCUAAGCUGAGGCCGACAGGCGUAGGCGAUGGAUAACAGGUUGAUAUUCCUGUACCACCUAUAAUCGUUUUAAUCGAUGGGGGGACGCAGUAGGAUAGGCGAAGCGUGCGAUUGGAUUGCACGUCUAAGCAGUAAGGCUGAGUAUUAGGCAAAUCCGGUACUCGUUAAGGCUGA